GAUGAACGCUGGCGGCGUGCUUAACACAUGCAAGUCGAACGGUGAACACGGAGCUUGCUCUGUGGGAUCAGUGGCAAACGGGUGAGUAACACGUGAGCAACCUGCCCCUGACUCUGGGAUAAGCGCUGGAAACGGCGUCUAAUACUGGAUAUGUGACGUGACCGCAUGGUCUGCGUCUGGAAAGAAUUUCGGUUGGGGAUGGGCUCGCGGCCUAUCAGCUUGUUGGUGAGGUAAUGGCUCACCAAGGCGUCGACGGGUAGCCGGCCUGAGAGGGUGACCGGCCACACUGGGACUGAGACACGGCCCAGACUCCUACGGGUGGCUG
rnacentral:rRNA from 1 species